UACCUGGUUGAUCCUGCCAGUAGUCAUAUGCUUGUCUCAAAGAUUAAGCCAUGCAUGUCUAAGUAUAAGCACUCGUACUGUGAAACUGCGAAUGGCUCAUUAAAUCAGUUAUCGUUUAUUUGAUUGUACUUUACUACAUGGAUACCUGUGGUAAUUCUAGAGCUAAUACAUGCGAAAAAUCCCGACUUCUGGAAGGGAUGUAUUUAUUAGAUUAAAAACCAAUGCGUGCCCUCGGGCGCGUUUUCUUGGUGAUUCAUGAUAACUUUUCGAAUCGUAUGGCCUUGCGCCGGCGAUAUUUCAUUCAAAUUUCUGCCCUAUCAACUGUCGAUGGUAAGGUAGUGGCUUACCAUGGUUAUAACGGGUGACGGAGAAUUAGGGUUCGAUUCCGGAGGGGGAGCCUGAGAAACGGCUACCACAUCUAAGGAAGGCAGCACGCUCGAAAAUUACCCAAUCCCGACUCGGGGAGGUAGUGACAAGAAAUAACGAUACGGGGUCUUAAUAGGUCUCGCAAUUGGAAUGAGUACAAUUUAAAUCCUUUAACGAGGAUCAAUUGGAGGGCAAGUCUGGUGCCAGCAGCCGCGGUAAUUCCAGCUCCAGUAGC
rnacentral:rRNA from 1 species